AUGUGCGAGCACUCCGGGAUCAGCCAAGGAGAGAUGGGGGCACCCUUUGCUGCCAGAACCGGGUGCGGGCAGCCCUGGGGGCAGGCGGCAGCCCCAGGGACCGGGGGGCCCCCGCAGCUCCCCGUGCCGGGCACCCCGGGCUGCCCCGCUGGUCCCCGCACAUCGCUGCCGACGUGGAGGACCCGACCGCAGAUUUCCUGCGGGACCGGGGCCAGCGAGCAGCGGCCGCAUCCCGUCCGGCUUCGAGCGGCGUCCCCCCGGGGCCGGAUCCUGGCGGUGCUGAGCAGCCCCCGCCUGCACGAGGGGCCGGGGGCUCCCCUGCAGCACCACCGGGCUGGGGCCGGGCCGGGCCGGCGGGGCUGGGUGCUGGGUGCUGGGUGCUGGGUGCUGGGUGCUGGGUGCUGGGGGCGGGAGACGCGGGCGGGAGCAAGGGCUCGGGAGCCCCCCCCCGGCACCCCCAGCACCGGGGACCCCGGGGGGCGCAGAGCCCGGCUGGGGGCGAGCAGAGCCGGGGUGCCCCCGAGCCCCCCGCUGCCGGGGGCAGCCCCCAGCCCGUUCCCGGGGGGUGCCCCCGGCCCCGGCGAGAGCAGCGGGCGGCGGGGGGCGAGGAGGGCCCGGGGGCGGGGACGGGGCCGGGAAGGGGCCGGGGGGGCGGCGAGGGGCGGGGGAGGGCGGGGGCGGCCGCUGCGCUCGGCUCGGCUCGGCUCGGCUCCGCUGCCCGCCCCGUCCCGUCCCGUCCCGUCCCGUCGCGGCCAUGCCGGGGCUGCGGCUCCCGGUGCUGCUCCUGCUGCCGCUGCUGGCCGCCGCCCCGCCCGCGCCCCCCGCCCAGACGGCGCCCCCCGACGGCGCUCUGAGGCCCGGGGCCGCGGGGGUGGGGGGCUCCCGGGGCUCCACGGCGGCGCCCCCCAGAGGCGCCGGGACGGGGGCGCCAACGACGAGCAGCGCCGCGACCCCCCCGAGGGGCGCCGCGACGGGGGGGACCCCGAAAGGCNNNNNNNNNNNNNNNNNNNNNNNNNNNNNNNNNNNNNNNNNNNNNNNNNNNNNNNNNNNNNNNNNNNNNNNNNNNNNNNNNNNNNNNNNNGGGGGCGUGGGGAUGUGGGUGUGUGUGUGGGGGGGGGUUACAUGUGGGUGUGCAUGUGCGUGUGUCUGCUUUUACAUGUGUGCGUGCACGAGUGUGCAUAUACGUGUGUGUGUUUACGUGUGUGCAUGUACGUGUGUGUGAGCGUGUGUGUGUGUGCUUGUACGUGCGUGUGCAUGUGUUGGUGUGUGUGUGUUUGUGUGCAUCUGUGUGCGUUAGUGUGUGUGUGCAUCUGUGUGUGUGCGGCUGUGUGUGUGCGGCUGUGUAUGUGCGUGUGCGGCUGUGUGUGUGCAGCUCUGUGUGUGUCUGUGUAUGUGCGUGUGCAGCUGUGUGUGUGCAGCUGUGUGUGUGCAGCUCUGUGCAUGUCUGUGCGUGGCGGUGUAAGCGGGGCUGUGUGCAGGGCUGUUUGUACACAAGUGUGUGUGCGCGAGGGGAGGGAUUUAAGUGUGCACUGGGGUGAGUGCGCGCACGCGUGUGUGAGUGUGUGUGUAUGGGUGAGUGUGCAUGUGAGCAUGGACGUGUGUGCGUGGUUUGUGUGUAUCGGCGUGUGGGAGUGUGUGCUUUGUGCCCGCGUGUGUGCGCUUUGUGGUUUGUGCUUGUGUGUUUGUGCGCUGCCUGCACACGCAGCCGGCACGGCUGGGCGCAGCGUCGGCAUUCCCGGUGCCGUCUGUGCCCGGUCCCGCUGCAGUUCUGUGCAGAUGCCCGGGCAGGGUGUGUGUGCGUGCGUGUGUGUGUGUGUAUGUGCUUGUGUGCAUGCGUGUUCAUGUGCGUGA
ensembl:lncRNA